UGGGGAAUAUUGGACAAUGGGCGAAAGCCUGAUCCAGCCAUGCCGCGUGUGUGAAGAAGGUCUUCGGAUUGUAAAGCACUUUAAGUUGGGAGGAAGGGCAGUAAGUUAAUACCUUGCUGUUUUGACGUUACCGACAGAAUAAGCACCUGCUAACUCUGUGCCAGCAGCCGCGGUAAUACAGAGGGUGCAAGCGUUAAUCGGAAUUACUGGGCGUAAAGCGCGCGUAGGUGGUACGUUAAGUUGGAUGUGAAAGCCCCGGGCUCAACCUGGGAACUGCAUCCAAAACUGGCGAGCUAGAGUAUGGUAGAGGGUGGUGGAAUUUCCUGUGUAGCGGUGAAAUGCGUAGAUAUAGGAAGGAACACCAGUGGCGAAGGCGACCACCUGGACUGAUACUGACACUGAGGUGCGAAAGCGUGGGGAGCAAACA
rnacentral:rRNA from 1 species